CAACGCAAAUACUGUGAUUAUUCCAAAACGCUGUAAAGCCUUUCAAGGGGAGGAGCUCCAAACACGCCCCUAAACAAGGGCACAAGUCUUACAAUUUUGCCGUGUCGUGGUAGGCUUCCUUAAGCGAAAGAGAAGAGAGAAAAAGAAAGGUAAGGCGAUAAUGGGUGGAGAAGGGCAGAUCUUGAAGAGAAUUCCGCGCAUUAAAUUCCCACAAAGACACCCAAAAUCCUCAGCUUCAGGUUCUACAUCUCAAGCUCAACAUGCAUCAACAAAUAGGGACACUCAUAAUAUUACCCUUUUAAGGUCAGAUGUUCCAGCAUCACCCGCAAAUACCGCUGUGGGUGGCCAAGCUUCUCUUCAGCCAAAACGAACACCAGUCUCAGACAAGGAGAUAGAGGCCGUACUGUUGGGCGGAUGCAUCUGAUCUGGCCAAGAAUUAGUACCAUGGAAGCACUAAUGUGAUCAAGACUUCGACCUGCUGUUUAUCAUUUUGCUAAAUAAUCAAACUCAGCUUGCCGGCCUUCAGAGAUUGCCCAUACCACCAGCGACUGGCCACGCCGGCAAUCCCCAGCUGCAAAGACCCCAUCCACACUGGUUGAGAAACGACCAUACUCUGCCUUGAAGUUUGAUCGAUUGUCUCGUUCCACUCCCAGCUUCUCUGC